rnacentral:rRNA from 1 species
UGAGUGGCGAACGGGUGAGUAACACGUGGACAACCUGCCUCAAGGCUGGGGAUAACAUUUGGAAACAGAUGCUAAUACCGAAUAAAACUUAGUGUCGCAUGACAAAAAGUUAAAAGGCGCUUCGGCGUCACCUAGAGAUGGAUCCGCGGUGCAUUAGUUAGUUGGUGGGGUAAAGGCCUACCAAGACAAUGAUGCAUAGCCGAGUUGAGAGACUGAUCGGCCACAUUGGGACUGAGACACGGCCCAAACUCCUACGGGAGGCUGCAGUAGGGAAUCUUCCACAAUGGGCGAAAGCCUGAUGGAGCAACGCCGCGUGUGUGAUGAAGGCUUUCGGGUCGUAAAGCACUGUUGUAUGGGAAGAACAGCUAGAAUAGGAAAUGAUUUUAGUUUGACGGUACCAUACCAGAAAGGGACGGCUAAAUACGUGCCAGCAGCCGCGGUAAUACGUAUGUCCCGAGCGUUAUCCGGAUUUAUUGGGCGUAAAGCGAGCGCAGACGGUUUAUUAAGUCUGAUGUGAAAGCCCGGAGCUCAACUCCGGAAUGGCAUUGGAAACUGGUUAACUUGAGUGCAGUAGAGGUAAGUGGAACUCCAUGUGUAGCGGUGGAAUGCGUAGAUAUAUGGAAGAACACCAGUGGCGAAGGCGGCUUACUGGACUGCAACUGACGUUGAGGCUCGAAAGUGUGGGUAGCAAACAGGAUUAGAUACCCUGGUAGUCCACACCGUAAACGAUGAACACUAGGUGUUAGGAGGUUUCCGCCUCUUAGUGCC